AUGGUUUACGGAGCUAAGGCGGUUCUCCCUAGCGACAUCCGUCAUGACUCGCCUCGAGUGGCGGCUUAUGUCGAGGCGGAUAAUGAUCAAGCGCGUCAAGACGCUCUUGACUUGUUGGACGAACAACGUGACGUAGCAGCAGCUCGCUCGGCGAUUUACCAACAAGACCUGCGCCGCUAUCACAGCCGCCGGGUUAAGUCCAGGACCUUUCAGGAAGGCGACUUGGUGCUCCGGCUCAUCCAGGAUCAAACAGAUGCACACAAGCUAUCCCCACCUUGGGAAGGGCCCUUUGUGGUCAGCAAGAACUUGCACAACGGGUCAUACUACCUCAUCGAUGUUCGAGAGCACAAAGAUUCACGUAAGUCGGAGGAGGAGACCCACCGGCCGUGGAAUAUUGCUCAUCUUCGGCCUUAUUACACUUGA
rnacentral:rRNA from 1 species